ensembl:lncRNA
CUUGACACGUGUGACAGUCUCACUGCUGACCUUCUCCCCAAAAAACCAACCCACGCUGUGGAGGAGGAUGCGGUGGCCUGGAUUUCUCACCUUGCACCCCCUUUUUUCUGUCGGCUUAUUCAGCAGCUGAGCUUAGCUGCGGGAAGGAAGGGGAGGGAGAGGCAGCAGCUCCAUAUUAAUGGGUUCCUUAAAGAGCAGCCUGGCACAGGUGGGAAAGUGUCAGUACAUCUAAUUGUUGCUCAUAGGUAAACAGCUCCAGAUCUCUGAUGAACCUUUCUACCCUUUCCUGAAACUCUUCUAUUCCAAGACCAACUUUUUGAGAUGAUAGCACUGAUGUGCAAGCACGCCACAAGUUCUACAAGGCUAUUGUGUCUGGAGCUAAGAUCCAGGUCUCAUCCCAAGGACUACUCAAGAAUCACAGUGGUGGGAAUUAAGCUCAGGGUGUUCCUUAUCCCAUCACAGCUGGAUGAGUUCUAGCUAUUUACCAAAUGGAAAGGACAAGCAGCUUAAGGAAUUCAGAGCUCCAACACUCCAAUAAGAAAAUUGCAUCUCUGUGCAUGUGCUGAAGCAGCAGGGGUGAGCUGGCCAUAGCAGUUAACCUUCACUCUACAUUCUGGAUCACAGUUAGGUGGGAGCAGAAAAUAACCACUCUCUUCUGAUUUUGCAGAGCACAUUCAAGUAUUCUGGUUGCAGUAUUCCUUCAGCCACUCAUCUCUAGAGAAUAUACCAUAGAAAUAGAGAAAUAUUUUUAUCUUUUACAUUUUAUGAGGCAUGAUGUGUGGGCCACUGUUUGAGGCAGAAUAAUGCUCCAAUGUCCAUAUGGCCUGAAAAGAUGUAGCCAUGAAUACCUCUGUGUAUAAGAAGGGUUAUAGCACCUGGAUACAGCAAAAUUCUCCCACUGUUAGUGUUCCCUGGGCACACAGCCAAAAUACAUCAGCCAUGUGCUGAGUGAAUAUUGAAACAUUCCCAGUACAUCCCACAGCAUCACCAGUAAUCUCAUAUCUGUGCUGUGUCGUGACAGUAAGUUUUUCAGUAUAGCUAACCCGACCUAUAAACAUUUCUACCAACUGAGAACACAGGUGUUGCAAUGAAAUAUUUGACAACCUUUGCAGCAAAUAAGUUGAUACUCUAAUUUCUUAUAAAAAUCUAUGGAGUGUCAGAAGAAGUUUUGGGAUCAUUUAAAUUUUAAUGUGUUUUGAAAAAAUGGAGUCAUUUCAAGGCACUAGAGGGCUUUCGGGCUUAUUACAUUAGACUGCAAAGACUAAUCAUCAGCACGUAAAACUAUUGUUAAUUCAGAAGUUCAUAAAAAAAGAAGAAAAUUUAAGGUUAAAAAUAUCACUACUGCACUGGAUGACAUUGUUCCACUGAAAGUAGGUCUCGUUAAAGAAACCUGUUAUAUUUUUGAUGGGAUUUGUCUGGUUGAUAAAGAAAUUCACUAUGGUAUAACCUACUUUGAUUUCACUAGAUCUAAACUAGAUGACUCCCAGAUUGGAGCUGCUGCCAUAGAAAGGAACAGAAAGACUCAUCCUACAUCAAUUAAAAACUGUUUCAGUACGUCAAAAAGGUAUUUUUGAUGGAGAAAGAAGGAUUUCUAGUGAAUUGUAACUUUUUACUGUAAUGCCCCUAUAAAUAGGCAUUGAGUCACUAUAAUUAAGUACUUCUUCACUGAAACAUAAAUGCUUGUUGUUGUUUGUUUGUUUAGUGAAAACUGGCAAGCAGCUCAUGAAUAAGUAAUAAAACUGGAAAGUUAUUAUUACAUAUGUAAUCAAAGACAACACUGAGUGGUCAAAGUGUACUAAAAACAGCCAAGUGAAAGGUUUUUACCUCUGGAAGCAGAAAAACUGAAGUGAUUAGGAAGGCGAGUCGGUCUUAGAAACGAUGAAGAUAGAUUGAGGAGCAUGGUUUGAGCAUGGUAAUGAUGCAUUGAUGGUUGGACUAGACGAUCUUAGUGGUCUCUUCCAACCGUAAUGAUUCCAUGAUUGUAUGUGCUAUGAUUUCCUGGAGAAAUCUUCCAAUAAAAGCACUAAGACAAUCUUCAAAAUGUAUUUAAUUGAUUUAAGUAUUUACCGAAGUCAUGUCUCUGGUACUAAAAAAGAAUAUCACACUCUCACUUGUAGAGAAGAGCUGAAAUAGUAAAAACUGAAGCUUUAAAAAAAAAAAAAAAAAAAAAGGGCUAAUGAUAUGAACUUUAGGAAUCAAAAUCACAUCAGUCAAUUAAAGUUGGUAAGAAGAGCAUUUAUUGUGAAGAAUUUUUUGCAGGUAGGUAAAGCAUCUGAGAUUUUGAGGGGAAAGUUCAUAGCUUUUAGUGUUGCAAGAUUCCUGAGUCAAAUAACUGGAAAUUCAAAUUAGUUAUAAUUAUCCUUGACAUAAGGUCAUGCUUCCCAAAAAUGGCAAUAAUUAUGUUUCAGGAUAAUUUACCAGUGGAGAUGGUGGACUCAACAUUCACCGCAGUGUCUAAAGCAGAGAUAAACAGGAGAGUUCGGUGGAUGUUAGAACUUAAGAUUUAUUGGCCUUUUUGAAAACGACAUUUUUUUUGUUGAAAUAAGUAAAACUACACACAUUCCCAUGGAACAAGAAGUUCCCAGAUCCCUGAAGUUGCUCAGCAAAUCUGACACUCUUGUGCACUUCAUUACUAGCUGGCAAUUAGCAAGUCCAUUAAAUGCUAGUUAAUGAGAAUGCUAAUUUCACUGAACAGCUGCAGGUGUCUCCCAGCACAUCCAUCUCUGGGGCAGAUCCUCCAGCUGACUGCCCCAGGCUGGGAGAUAUCUGUUUUCCCAAAUUCCCAAUUCUGGGGCAGCCCCAUCAGGGCCAUCUGUUCUUGAGCCAGAGAGGGUGCAAUGGCCAAGAUGCUUGGCUCUGGAUAAAUCCUGCAAAAUGUGGGUGUGCUGCCAGAAAAACAGCAUUAAUGGGUCUGAGAAUUGAUUGCUGACCAGUCCACCACAACCCAGCUACGGGUUUGGUAUAAGCUCAUGAGAGUAUUUCCAACAAAAGCCUCUCCAACCCAAUGGGCUGGCAUUUCCAGGUGUUUCUGCAGCAAAAGAAGCACAAGAGGAACAGCAAGGUUAAACUGGCAGUCCUGACAAAGGAAAUAGUAAAUUUCUCUGGUGCCUGUUGCAGAGCAUGACCUGGUGUGCAUGAGCUUUUGAGAGGGGAAUUCAGCCAUCUAGCGUCUGGUUUACAAAGGCAAUCAGGGCUUAGCAAUUGAUAGUUUUCUUCCCAAAGCUUUCACACUCACAGAUUGUAGAUUUAUUGGAGAAAGAUUUGGGCUCAACCCAGCUCUCUCUGUGUGAAAGAUUUAUAUAGCACUGGCAGCAUAUGGAACUGAAAGUACAGAUAAACCUCUGCACCUUUUGAUGCUAAUUCAGGCAGAACCUUCAAGCGUGGAAAGUUCAGCAUCAUUAUUAAUAUAAAAACCUUUGAACGCAACAAUACACCCCCAGCCCUGCACACCACACACCAUUGUACUUACUUUACUUUUAUUUCUUCUAAUUACAAAGCAUUACUCACAAGAAUGACAGAUUUUAUUACUCACUAUUAUACAAUUUCUUUAUUCCCCAGUCCUAACAAAAAAGAAAGUACAGAAAAAGAAGUUAUUUGGAAAAAAAAAAAAAAAAAAAAAGAAUACCCCUCAUAAUAAAUGACUUAAUCAUAAGAAAGAAUUUCGAUGCCAAGGCAUUACUUUUUCUGAAUUUGCCUGUUUGGUUAAAAUUCCUGCCAUGUUUGACUUGAGGCAAUUCUGUAGUUAGCUUCAAAUUUGUCACUCUCCUGACUAAUUCCUUUUAAUUAGACUUAACAUAGAAAAAAAAAGUUGUCAUCGUUUAAAAUUAAGUCAAGUAAUGUAUUGAUUGAAUGAGGACUUAACAAAUAAGUAGUCUUAUAGCAAAUGAUUCAAGCAAGAACAUUUUUAAGCUCAGGCAUUUUUCUUUCCCUGUCCUGAAUCCUACUCAAUAUUACGUUUCACCUUGUGGUCCUUCCAGAUUCCCUAUAUAUGCAUGCACACAGGUGCACAUGCACAUUAAGCAAUUAUUUCACAUAGACAGUCAAGACAAGUAUGUGAAUUGAAGCGUUUAACCAUUCAGUAACAAAAUGGGACAUUUUGAGGACAUUCAGAAAAGAAAUGACUUCUUUAUCCUAAUGGUUUUUGUCUAUGCCUACACCAGCAAGGCAAGAGUUGGGUAUGUCUUGAUAACAGUGGAGCUUUACCUCCAGACUGCCUGGAAAAUCAAAUAUGGUUGGAUUGGAGGAAGAUUGCUAGCACUGACUUUCAGCCACAUAUCCAUGGCAUUGCUCUGUGCCACUUCACAAAGUUACAGCUGGAAAAGUGUAAGAGGUAAGAAAUGGACAUAGGGAUGUUAGUCUACACUUGGCUAAACAUUAGCCAGCAUUGUGCCCAGGUAACAAAGAAGGCCAGUGUCAUCCUGGCACGUGUAAGAAAUAGUGUGGCCAGCAGGAGCAGGGAGGUGGCUGUCCCCCUGUGCUCAUCUCUGGUAAAGCCUGAGUACUGUGUUCAACUUUAGGCCCCUCAUACAAAAAAACAAAAACAAACAAACAAAACAAAACAAAACAAAACAAACAAACAAACAAAAAAACCCACACUGAGGCCCUAGAGCAUAUCUAGAAAAGGGCAAUGAAGCUUGUGAGGGAUAUGGAGCACAAGUUUUAUGAGGAGCAGCUGAUGGAACUGGGAUUGUUUACUCUGGAGAAGAGGAGGCUCGGGAGAGACCCUCUUGCUCUCUACAACUAUCUGAAGGGAGGUUGUGGUGAGAUAGGGGUCAGCCUCUUCUCCUGGGUAGCGAGGAUAGUCCUAGAGGGACUGACCUCGAGUUGCACCAUGGAAGAUGCAGGCUAGAUGUUAGGAAAAAUUUCUUCGCCAAAAGAGUGCUCAGGCACUGGAACGGGCUGUCCAGGGAGGCAGUUGGGUCAUCAUCCCUGGAGCUGUUCAAGAAACAUUUAGAUGUCUUACUAAGGGACAAGGUUCAGACGAGAAAUAUUGGUGGAGGAAGGAUGGUUGGACUAGAUGUUCUUUGAGGUCUUUUUCAACCUUGGUGAUUCCAUGAUUCUAUGAUUUUUAAAUGCCUUCCAGAUUUUUGUUGAAUAGAACUGUCUGAAGAACACCUCUUUGGGUGUGUUAAGAUCAGAGUUCAGUCUUCGGGCAGCUCUCUCUAGUCUACAUUUAAAAUUUCUCUCUUAUAAACAAUAAUUGCCUUCAGAAUAAAUGAAUUUCCUGAAAUAGUAAUUUUGACCCAGAUCUUUUCAAUACAUCAUUGCACUUCAUUGAUGCAUGAUUGCAUGGUGGUCAUGCAGUGAGCUACAGAAAUGUGUUGCUAUUAUACAGUUACCCACAUUUACUUGAAAAGAUUUCCUCUGGAUUCUCCUUCUCUUGUUCUACUAGUUAUAUACAAGUAUAGGAGUACUAAAUCUUACUGCAUUGCCACUUAAGAUAGUCUGAGGAAAAUACAUCGACCCUGUAAAGAUUUUGCAGAUUAAAGCUAUCCUUCAAUAUCUAUGGUUCAUAGGUCCUUCCCUAGCAAACUAGCCUUGAGGGAAGACUGCUGAGCAUCCAGUAAUUUUUUACAAGCAAUUGACCCACUCUAAUAAGAUUAGUUCUUCAGAUAACCCAUGACUCCCUGAAAAUGACUGUACAAGUGUUUUUCUCCAAAGUUCCAUAUGCAGGCAGUAUCAAGAAUGUUUUCAGUGUCUGCUAGAAGGGUAUUUUUCAAGAGUGAUGGUGAGAGAGUAUUAAUGAAGAUAUUUUGAAGCCAACGUGAGUAAAAUCUGUAAUGCUCUAGUGAAGUACAUAAUUCUCUGAAAGUGAAUCCAAACAGCUAAGAAGUCUUCUUCUACACGGUGAUUAAUUCCCUCUGAUGCAGAACAAUAUCUAGAGAUUAUCUUCCACUCAACCUCUGCAUCUCCAGGUAAAGUGUGAAGAGUAGAUGGAGAUAUGGUUGGGCUAGAUGUUCUUAGUACUCUUUUCCAACAUUAAUCAUCCUAUGAUCCUGCAGUACUGUGUCACACUACUCAAAAAGGCUGGGGCUACAGUGACAGUCAUUGAUCUCUCCUUUCAUAAAAGCACAUUUUUUUUAAUCAAUCCACAUUUGGUAACAAACAAAUGAGAACAGGAUCACCAUAGGGUGGGUGUUGAGAAGUGGCUCCUUCUCUCAAAUGUCGGAAUAAUCAUAGAAUCAUAGAAUCAUUAAAGUUGGAAUGACCUCUAAGAUCAUCUAGUCCAACUGUCAACCCAUUAUCACUACGUCCACUUAAAGAAUCAUUACAGAUUGUCUGAGAGUUACUUCCCUGGGAUAAUCCACAGUACAGAAAGAAAAAAAUAUCAUCUUCUUAUGCAGCAGGAGUUCAUGGAAGUAGUAGCAAUUCACCACCAGCAAGCAGACUGUUGGUCCCCACAGCACUCUGUGCCAUGCUAAGGAUGUGUAGAGAGAGACAUAAAAUUUGGGAUGUGUGUCAAUCUGUUCUUCUUCCUUGGAAAAAGAUAGCUGACAGGUAUUCAGUACCAUCUGCUGAUGGUCCUCGUUAUCAUCUUUCUUCCUUUGAUGACUGGGUCCAGAUUUUGGGGCUAACGGUGAAAGGACUGUACUGGAAAUAGUUCCAAAAUAAUGGAGCCACUCCUAAGGAAACUGCUUUUGUGAAAGAGAACAGUUAUGACUCAGCAUGAGGAUUUGUGUUCCUUCAAAUACUUUCAUUUCUUCCUCUUUAGUCCGUUUUCCUGAUAUACCAUCUUGUUGUAAAUCUAUAUGCAUCAUUACCCCCAUUCCCCUCCCACAACCCAAAAAGUUAUACAUCCUCUAGCAAAGUUCAACUACAUUUGAUGGAAUAGUAGAAGUCCACUUCCAUGGGUUACAAGCAUGUUGCUUUUUUUCACACUCAUAGUGUUUCUUUCUUGAUCUUAUAUCUAUUAUAGAAAAAUGCCAUGAUAAGUCUUGCACUCCUAUCAUCCUUUCAAUAGUAGGGUCAAAAAUGAUCCUCAAAAGUUGCAUGUGAGUUACUCAUGAACGUUGGCUUGGUAGAGCUGAGACUUUCAGGGAGUUUCAGUAUUGGCAAAGAACAAAUGCUGACUUGUGAGGUUUGCCCAUACCUCUGGAGAGAGAAUCAAUCACAGUAUAAUGAAGCAUUCAAGCCAUCAGUUGUUACGAAAUAAGACUUCCACCAUAGUCUUUACUCCACUAAAGCACACCACUUUUCAGCUCAUUUAAUCUGAACCAUCACAUCUUUUGAAGUCUGAUUGAGUCAGAAUAAGUCUGACCGUGCUCAUGAAUUUCUGUCAAAGAUCAGGGUUCAAUAAAUUAGUGCAUGUGGAAGAAGAACAAAGAAGACAACUUCAUCCUUAGCUUUUUAUCUCUGCAAUGGUAGAUCAGGAGUAUCAGUGUGGUAUCAGUAACAGUGACAGCUUGUACAUACUUCCUGAGCAUACAGGGGUUGACUUGGACUUGAGAUCAGGUUAUUGUGAUCUUGCUUGCUCCUUUUUCCUUGCUCAGCUCACCUGGUUGUUAGGGCAAAUUCAGAGGACAUAGUACAAGAGAGAAGUCUAGUGACUGCUCAGAGAAUGGUAGAGGUAUCGGUCCCUCAGUCCUUCCUUGUCUCAAAUGUUUGUUUGUUUGUUUGUUUAAUCCACUAUUAAAAAUAAUCAAUAAAAUAAUAACAAUAUUUUAAUGUGUACCUUUUUCGUUUCCUCUUUUCCUCCUUAGUCCUCCAUGAAAGGAAACAUUCUCUUGUCUAUCUUCUAUAUCAACAGAUAAUCAUUCUUACAAGAAAAAACAAUGUGUAAUCAGUUAAAAAUACAAAGGAUUUUUGCCAGAAAUUUGCUUGGAGAAGCUGCUUGCUUAUUUGCUUGAAUAGUCCUUCCAAGACAGGCAUAAUUGCUAGGCAGGGAAUUGACUUCCCAUCCUCGGCCAGAUGAUCAACACUUUUGCCCUAACAGCAUGUUUCUGUCAAUGGCAGAGUUGGCAGCCUCCAGAGCAUGAUGGUUUUCCUUAGCCACAGUGUGACAUUUCUUCUGCAUACCAAUUGAGGAAGCAGGCACACUGUCUUCCAGCUAUUCCUUUGACGUUCUGUUCCAUAAGUGAAGUUGAAGGGAAGAAAUUCAGUCCCCUCCUUCUGUCUGACUCAUCAUGGUGGAGAAGUUCUGACAUCAGAGUCCAGCCCCCCGGAAACGAAGCGCUGUCGCAGAUGCAGUCUGCCUUUAAAAGUGAGUCAGGAAUGGCUUUGAAAACAAAACAGAAGGAACCAUUUUAUUGUUACACAAAACUUCAGUACACUCACUUAUCAGCUGAGAAGCUCUGGUCUUGGCCUCUUCAGAAGACAGCGGUGAAGGAUUCCUAACUUGAGGAUUUUACACGUGCUGAGAAUUGCAAGAUGUCCAUGUGGAAAUCUUUACUAUGGUCUAUUUGCAAGUGAGCCACACACAUGCUGACCAAUGCCUGCUCCCUCCAAUGCCUUCCAGAAGACACAUGAUUGACCACAGACACAACUCUAGGCACACAAAGUUUAGCUCCAGAAGAUUCCAUCCCCUUGCAUCUGUUCCAGCUCUUUAACCACCGUAGUGACCUCUGUAGGACUUUUAUCAGUCUGUCGAUGGGUUUCUUCUCCCUGAGGAAAAAGAUAUCUCACAGAGGAAGAAAACUGCUUCAUUUCUUAUUUUUCUCCAGUAUGGACAGCUGUUUCUGUGCUUCCCUGUGCAUCCUUACAACCUUGCCUUGGAUUUUUCCUCAUUUCAAAUGGAAAACCCCAUAAUAGAACUGAGUACAGCUUAACUCGCAGAUGUGCAGCUCCAGUGACGUUGCAGGAAUUCUCACAGGAACAGUGAUGAAUGAACUGCUGUAGAUCCAAAUUCAUAUUAAAAAAAAACUCCUGGGAAUCAGGAAGAGUGCAUUACUUUUUUAUUCACUUUUUGUUUGUUUGUUUUUAGUUGUGUGAACAUGGAUGCUAACCACAUACUCAAAGUAAGGAGUACCUAGGGGGGAGCAGGAAACUUCCCCUCCUUCCCCACAAAGAUUUUUUACAAAAUGAUACGUAUGUAUUCUGCUGUACAUGUCUUGAUGAACUGUCAUUGGAAUUUUAAAGCACUUAAAGACUUAACAACUAACAGACAUAAAAUUUUGCUUCCUUUUAACCAUGAAGAUUUCAAUGAAGCCUGACUAACAAGAGCUAAUUCAUUGGAAAACAGUCUCAGUAGGAAAAGAUGCUAUGUGCAGUUAUAGUGGUAUUCUCUGAAGUAUUUUAAAAUAGUAUUAAUUCAUGCUUUCUACAUUCCUAAUUCUGUCCCUCUAUCCCUCAGUAUUGUCACAUACUGUGAUCUUGAUUUUGACCUUUAGUGAAAUCAUUUACUCAUAAUAUAGUUUGUGAACUUGGAUACUAGUAGAUGAUUGUAAAAAUAUCUCAGUCUACACAUUUCUAAAGGACCAAGAGGUUAGGAUAGGAUAGGAUAGGAUAGGAUAGGAUAGGAUAGGAUAGGAUAGGAUAGGAUAGGAUAGGAUAGGAUAGGAUAGGAUAGGAUAGGAUAGGAUAGUUCAGUUUAGCAUGAUUGUUAAUAUGUUAAAUGCAAUCCAUUUUGAAUAUAUGUUUCUACAUAAUGAACAUUUUUCCCUAUAACAAAAAUGAUUUUUUGUUUGUUUGUUUGUUUUUUUGAGUGUUAGUGUCAUCAUGGAUAUCUUGAAAGAGUUUUGAGAGAGUGAAGUGCAGUGCGGGUGUUAUUUAGUAAUAGGAUAUAGUAGGCUGUGAUGUCUGGAACUGUGAUUAUUUAUGAUUAUCAAAAAUAGAUGUGAAUAUUAGCAUUUGAGAAUAUAUCACAGAUUACAUAUUAAGAUGAAGAUAAAUGAGUCUGUGUGGUACAAGACUAGAAAUCAUUGUAACUAUCAAACUCUGCUUAUGGAAAAGCAAAUAACACUUGCAAUGAGAACGUGAAGGGGAAUGAAAACUGGAACGAUAUCAAUUGCAUACAAAGCCACUGGGAUCAGAUGAGCUGUGCAGAAUUUACAGUGAAAGACCACUUAUUCUCAAUACAAGUUAAAAUAUGUUAAUGCAUGUCAGAAUCCUCUCCCCCCAAAACUCUUAUCCUUAAAGAUGUGCAUAUUCCCUUCAAAAAGAAUGAGAAGGCAAGAAGCCAACAGGCUGCUCUGAGAAAGUAUCCAGAAAGCUUGUCAGUGCUUGUCAGCAGAAAUCAAGAUGGGGAGACAGUCUAGGGAUGCUGUUGAAGUCUUUUCUCUGAUAUAAAGCCCUCUGGGGAGUAAGCAAUCUGGAAUAAUUGUAGAUACACCAUGAUAAUAGACUGAAGUCAAUUGCAAUUUAGGUCAGAUGAUCAAUUGAUUUUCCCUUUCUCCAGCUUGAUUCAGUGUCUAAUAAACACAAGCAAAAUGCAUUCUACUGCCUCUCAGGUUAGCAUACUUAAGGGGAUAAAUAUAUUAAAGAAAAAUUUUUAAAAAAUAAUCUUGGUUAUUUUCAUUCUUAUUGAUUUUGUGCUCACAGAGGUGCACAGGGAGGAAAUUGGAAAUCUUUAUGAUGGCAGAGGGUAAGAACUUUAGCACCAUAUCAUUUUUUUUCCAAGAGGAAAGAUCCAUUCAGCAGGCAGAUGAGUUGCUGUAUAUAUAGGGAAAGCUAAAAGUGACUGCAGGUCAGCACACCAAACAUGAUUAUGUGGGCCUAGGAUAUCAGAGAAAGAGAUUUGAUAAAAAAGUAUUUGGUAGGGAGGAUGACAGAUAUCACUGGGACACCCAGGUGUGGACAUUUCAGUGUUAAACUGGUCCUAGCAUUCUAAUCUACAUCCUUUAGGGAAAUUCAUUCUGCAGUCCCCCAAAACAAGGUCAAAUGCUUGGAAGUUCUUUGGACUCAAUGAUCCUUAUGGGUCACUUCCAUCUUGGGUUAUUGUAUGACUCUAUGAUUCUAUGAUCUAUUAAAUGACAGAUCCAGCUAACCAGAGGAACGGCAUCACAUUCAGAGCUUUAGAUCUGUGAUGCCCCCAAAACCUGAGUUUCCCUCACAUCACAAUGUCUUAAUCCUUGUCAUGAACUCCUUACAUUGGUGUAGCACAGACAAACAGCUGGUCUUUCUUAAUGUUCCCUUCUCAGUAUCUACACUCUGCAACAGUUUGGUUUGCAGCAUUGAUAAACACAUCUUGGAGAAUUUUUAUCUACUGUUUCCC